CUCCUCUGUCGGAUCUGUCUCUACCCCCAUAGCCUCCCCUCUCUGAACCAUUUCUACCCCAAAAACCUCCUCUCUCCCCCCUACCUCUAAAGCCCCCUCUGUCAAAAGAACCACCUCUUCCUCUGAAACCACCCCUCCAACUCCCACCACCUUCUCGAUAGCCAGAAUUAUCAGUUUGGUCUUCACCACUGGCUACAAAAGAACCCCGGUUGACAUUACUAUCUCCAGUUUUCCAACUACUUUUCUCGCCCCAACCACAAGAAUCCCGGCUUGCAUCACCAGAUCCAGAAUUCCAGCUACUUUUCUUGCCAUAACCAGAACUUUGGUUAGUAUCACCAGAUUCAGAGUUGAAAUUUUUCUUGCCCCAACCAGAACCCUGAUUCCCAUCUGCAUCAUUGGAUCCAGAGUUCCAAUUACAUCUCUUGCCCCAGGUUGAGCCUGCUCUGCCAGAAUCACCGGAUCCAGAGCUACUGCCACCCUUGUUACCCCAAUCAGAAUCAUGGUUUUUACCUGUAUCAGUUGAUCCCCUUCCCCAGCUAGCACUUUGACCCCAUCCCUUUGCC
rnacentral:misc_RNA from 1 species